UGGCCUCCUGGAACAAUUAAAACAGAGAUUUUCUCUAUCUACCCUUCUUUGUGUAGAUCUUACACUGUGGCUUUGGCGAUAGUCUUUGCUCACAUGAGAAGCUUCCCAGACGGUCUUCACUGAAGAAAUGCCAGCUUCACCUAGAACCUCUCUCUCCGAGACAGAGCAGAACGAAAAGUUGGGAGAGAUGACUUUUGGAUUUUAAUUUUCUUGAACUUUACUUUGUGAGGGGUUCCUGCAGGACAUCCAGGAGAGCAGUGUUGGUAUCUGGAAGGACAGUUGAAGAUGGGAGCACCGUUGUUCUGAUGGACAGCUAUUCUCCUUCUAUGGGGAAAGUAGCCCUGCCUCAGGUUGCCAAUAGGCUUAGUGGUGAAAUCAAAGGAUUAGGAGAACACAAAGCUAGAUACUGUUAGAGGACAUUUUUUUCCAAUUUUUUUUGCCCUCUCUUAUGAAGAAGGAACUCCAUUAACAU